UCCUACCCCUUCUAUCCCUCAAAACCGUUAGAUUUUUGUAUAGAACAAGAUCCCGAGACCUUUACCAAAAUGGGAAAAGAGUGUCAACGUGAUAGAAGAAUGUUCCGUGGCACCUCUAGAGAAGUUAGCGCUGGAGGAGGAAGUAACGCGGAUGAACACCACGUGCGAGGAAAAGCAUCCAUCAAAUCGCAGGCGACCGUAGACGCCUGCCUCAAUGCCGAUGAUGUUCAGCUGGUAUGAAUAGAUGAAGCUAGCGAUGACCGAUGAAGGACAAACCUCGGACUCAACAUGAAACCUGAGAAUGAACUACGAGCAUUGCAAAUGUUUAACGAUAUAGUAACGAAUGUAUUAUUGACAAAUGCUCGAAGAUGAUUAGCAGAUUAUGAUAAUAUUUAUUGAUUGUUUAUUUGACUGAAUAGGAAAUUCGGGACAUCAGGCGAAUCUUUCUUACAUGUUAUUACUGAUGGUGGGAUUAGAACAGCAGUAGAAAUUUCAGGAGAAAACAACAUAAAUCCUGGCGAGGAGCACAGACCAUGAGUCUCGUUUUUUUUGUUUUGUUGGGGGGGGGGCCAUCAAGGCGUGUGAUGCCUUUCUAAUGAGAUUAAUAUACAUGAUAUUAGAGAGCAUACUACAUUUUUUAAACGAUCAUGUGUCUUUAUUAUUAUUAUUAAUAAUAAUAUUACUUUUUAUAAAAGUUAUAAUUGAGAUCGCCUGGGACGUCUUCAUGGGCGCAGCUUGUAUCGUUGUUGUAAACGAGUGCUUUAAAUUAAUA